rnacentral:rRNA from 1 species
GACGAACGCUGGCGGCGUGCUUAACACAUGCAAGUCGAACGGAAAGGCCCUGCUUUUGUGGGGUGCUCGAGUGGCGAACGGGUGAGUAACACGUGAGUAACCUGCCCUUGACUUUGGGAUAACUUCAGGAAACUGGGGCUAAUACCGGAUAGGAGCUCCUGCUGCAUGGUGGGGGUUGGAAAGUUUCGGCGGUUGGGGAUGGACUCGCGGCUUAUCAGCUUGUUGGUGGGGUAGUGGCUUACCAAGGCUUUGACGGGUAGCCGGCCUGAGAGGGUGACCGGCCACAUUGGGACUGAGAUACGGCCCAGACUCCUACGGGAGGCAGCAGUGGGGAAUAUUGCACAACGGGCGGAAGCCUGAUGCAGCAACGCCGCGUGCGGGAUGACGGCCUUCGGGUUGUAAACCGCUUUCGCCUGUGACGAAGCGUGUGUGACGGUAAUGGGUAAAGAAGCACCGGCUAACUACGUG